rnacentral:SRP_RNA from 1 species
ACCGGGAGCGUGGCGUCUCCUGUGAUCCGGCUGCUCGGAGGUCGGGAGCGGAGGAUGGUCUGAGGUCGGAGGCUCUGGCGCUCUGUGGCCCAUGUUGACUGGACGUCCGCACUAAGAGCGGUAUUAACAUGCACCCUCCGGAGGAGUCCAGGGGGUGCAGGUUCACUGAGGAGGGGCGAACCGGGCCAGGGGGGAGACCCAGCAGCCAAAAGUCCCCGUAUCGGUCAGUAGUGGGACAGCGGCCGGGAGUGGGCGCUUGGCGACAGCCCGACCAAUACGACCAGACCCGUUCCUUU